rnacentral:rRNA from 1 species
GAUGAACGCUGGCGGCGUGCUUAACACAUGCAAGUCGAACGAGUGGCGAACGGGUGAGUAACACGUGGGUGAUCUGCCUCGUACUGGGGGAUAAGCUUUGGAAACUGGGGCUAAUACCGGAUAGUGCAAGAUGAGACCGCGGCCUAUCAGCUUGUUGGUGGGGUAAUGGCUACCAAGGCGCGACGGGUAGCCGGCCUGAGUGGGUGUACGGCCACAUUGGGACUAAGAUACGGCCGAGACUACUACGGGAGGCAGCAGUCAGGAGUGAUGCACACGGGGCGGAAGCCUGAUGCAGGGACGCCGCGUGGGGGGUGAAGGCCUUCUGGUUGUAAGCUCCUUUCGACAGGGACGCGGUACCUGUAUAAGAAGCACCGGCUAACUCCGUGCCAGCAGCCGCGGUAAUAC